rnacentral:misc_RNA from 1 species
ACAUCUCAACUCCUCACGGUUCGCCCGUGAUGAGCUUGGACUUUGGGGGUCUUGCUGGCCUGCAGGUCGGCUCCUCUCAAAUGAAUCAGCUUGCCGGUGUUUGGUGGCGUCACAGGUGUGAUAACUAUCUACGCUUGUGGUUUUCCGCCAGGUAACCUCCAACGAUGGGGGUUCACUGGAGCUCACAAACGUCUCUCCUCGGUGAGGACAGCUCUUUGAAU